UACAGAGACUGCAAGCGUUAAUCGGAAUUACUGGGCGUAAAGCGUGCGCAGGCGGUUAUGCAAGACAGAUGUGAAAUCCCCGGGCUCAACCUGGGAACUGCAUUUGUGACUGCAUGGCUAGAGUACGGUAGAGGGGGAUGGAAUUCCGCGUGUAGCAGUGAAAUGCGUAGAUAUGCGGAGGAACACCGAUGGCGAAGGCAAUCCCCUGGACCUGUACUGACGCUCAUGCACGAAAGCGUGGGGAGCAAACAGG
rnacentral:rRNA from 1 species